rnacentral:pre_miRNA from 1 species
GUAUGAAUCACCUAGGGAUCUUGUUAAAACACAGAUUCUGAUUGGGAGGUCAGGAGUGGGACCUGGGAUUCUGCCUUUCUAACAGGCUCACAGGUGAUUCUCAG